rnacentral:rRNA from 1 species
AACGAACGCUGGCGGCAGGCCUAACACAUGCAAGUCGAACGAGCUGAGACCUUCGGGCCUCGAUGCUAGUGGCGCACGGGUGAGUAACGCGUGGGAACGUACCCUUUAGUAUGGAAUAACCCAGGGAAACUUGGGCUAAUACCGUAUACGCCCUUCGGGGGAAAGAUUUAUCGCUAAAGGAUCGGCCCGCGUCUGAUUAGGUAGUUGGUGAGGUAACGGCUCACCAAGCCGACGAUCAGUAGCUGGUCUGAGAGGAUGAUCAGCCACACUGGGACUGUGACACGGCCCAGACUCCUACGGUAGGCAGCAGUGGGGAAUAUUGGACAAUGGGCGACAGCCUGAUCCAGCCAUGCCGCGUGAGUGAAGAAGGCCUUCGGGUUGUAAAGCUCUUUCGACGGGGACGAUGAUGACGGUACCCGUAUAAGAAGCCCCGGCAAACUUCGUGCCAGCAGCCGCAGUAA